CAGGAUCGUCCAAGGUAGAUUGUGUAACUUGUGCCAGGGGAUAUUAUCGCAACUUAGACGGGACACAGUGCUGUAGCAACUCAGGAUGCGAUUCGUGCACUGGAACAAAUAAUGCCGUUUGCUCUGUCUGUAAGCCAGGAUGGUUUCUCUACCAAACCUCAUGUGACCAGUGUGGUACCACUUGCGUAUCACCAUCAAAUGGAACGGCGAGGUGUGACCCGGUAACCGGUAGUUGCUACUAUGGAUGUCAACCAAACUACCACGGUAGCAAGUGUCAACGACUCUGCAAUCUAGCCAACUGCAUCACCUGUACCUACAACGAGCCCUCAGACAACUUGACCUGCGCUGUCUGUGUUGCUGGAAGAUACGGCCCCUACUGUAUAUCAUGCAACAGUAACUGUCUGAGAGACACCGGAGACAUAUGCAUUCACAACGGUACAUGCUUAGACGGAUGCAGACCGGGUUACAGGGGUGAUAAAUGUGAUGUGUCAUGUGAGGCUACACUCGGUCUUUCAAACUGUG